rnacentral:rRNA from 1 species
GGAAUAUUGGUCAAUGGGCGCAAGCCUGAACCAGCCAUGCCGCGUGCAGGAUGACGGUCCUAUGGAUUGUAAACUGCUUUUGUACGAGAAGAAACAACUCUACGUGUAGAGUCUUGACGGUAUCGUAAGAAUAAGGAUCGGCUAACUCCGUGCCAGCAGCCGCGGUAAUACGGAGGAUCCAAGCGUUAUCCGGAAUCAUUGGGUUUAAAGGGUCCGUAGGCGGUUUAGUAAGUCAGUGGUGAAAGCCCAUCGCUCAACGGUGGAACGGCCAUUGAUACUGCUAAACUUGAAUUAUUAGGAAGUAACUAGAAUAUGUAGUGUAGCGGUGAAAUGCUUAGAGAUUACAUGGAAUACCAAUUGCGAAGGCAGGUUACUACUAAUAUAUUGACGCUGAUGGACGAAAGCGUGGGUAGCGAACAGGAUUAGAUACCCUAG